AGGGAUAGGGUCGGUUCGGCCGGAUUUCACACAGGUGUUGCAUGGCUGUCGUCAGCUCGUGUCGUGAGAUGUUGGGUUAAGUCCCGCAACGAGCGCAACCCUCAUCCUUAGUUACCAUCAGGUAAUGCUGGGGACUUUAAGGAAACUGCCAGUGAUAAACUGGAGGAAGGUGGGGAUGAUGUCAAGUCAUCAUGGCCCUUAUGGAGUGGGCUACACACGUGCUACAAUGGUGGCUACAAUGGGCUGCAAAGUCGCGAGGCUAAGCUAAUCCCUUAAAAGCCAUCUCAGUUCGGAUUGUACUCUGCAACUCGAGUACAUGAAGUUGGAAUCGCUAGUAAUCGUGGAUCAGCAUGCCACGGUGAAUAAGUUCUCGGGUCUUGUACACACUGCCCGUCACGCCAUGGGAAUUGGU
rnacentral:rRNA from 1 species